UUGCUAGUUACCAUCAUUAAUUGGGGACUCUAGCGAGACUGCCAGUGAUAAACUAGGAGGAAGGUGGGGAGUGACGUCAAAUCAUCAUGCCCCUUACUGACCUGGGCUACAAACGUGAUACAAUGGCUGGAACAAAGGGAGUGCGAAGCAGUGAUGUGGAGCGAAACCCAUAAAAACAGUCUCAGUUCGGAUUGAAGUCUGCAACUCGACUUCAUGAAGUCGGAAUCGCUAGUAAUCGCGGAUCAGAACGCCGCGGUGAAUACGUUCCCGGGCCUU
rnacentral:rRNA from 1 species